UGCUAACAAGUCAACCAAACCACCCGCGCACCCACGACCACUUCUUCCUCCACCUCCUACCGCGUACUACGGCCCCCAAAUCCCUCGACCUUCUUCUCCAGCCGACCCCCUCCACCUCCCUCGCCGCGCCUCCACGCUCUCAGCGCCAGGCCGCCGCUAGCUUGACUCCCGGCCAAAGUGAACCGCACCUCCCCAACUUAUCUUCCUCUCCAGUCAACCCCACCCCGCGCCCGCCCAUUCCCAUCCCCACCUUCUUCCUCGCCGCCUGGCCGCCAUGCCCACCCCUGCACCUUCUUCUUCGCCGCCUGGCCGCCGUGUCCACCCCUCCACCUUCCCCUAGCUGGAUCUCGCCGCUACGUCCUGGGCGGCUACUGAUCCGGCCUUCAAUGUUUUCCCCAUCCUCCCUUGGGCGCCCGAAACAAAGUCGUCGGCCCCUGCCUUCCACCACUCCGGCCUCGCGCCGCCGUGGCCUUCCCCGCCUUCCACCACUCCAGCCUCGCCUCGCCCGAAACCAAGUCGUCGUCUGCGCCCCGUCGAAUCCGGCCUCCGCUGCGCCUAUAGCCACUAGAUCCAUGGACCCCCCACGCUUGUGGUCCUCCCCCCUCGGUCAGAUCCACCGCGCCGGCCACCAGUCCGGCGGCUCACAACAGUGUCGCAGCUCAACAGCGCAUGCAAUUCGCACCAGUGGAGGCUCUCGCCUCGAGCCGACAGGCUCCCUAACUCACUUUACCCAUGGGCGUGCAGAUCUGCCCACACGGGCAUGCAACUCGACCAACGGGGCCUUGCAGUUCGGCCCAUGGUCUCUCCCUUCCUCGAUCCGGCGGUCUGCAUGUCGUCCACCUCUGAGAGUUUUGGCCGGCUGCAAGUCAUCCCUCGUCGCCGUGAGGACUGCUUUCGUGCGGCCACGAUAAUAUGUCGCAAGGUCGCCACCGCAGCCCAUGCCUCCGGCGGUGGUCGGGCUCGGCGCUGGUCCUGGCGCCGCUGCCUUAGGUCGUGGCUGCUCUGCCGGUGCAGCGGUCUGACGGCCCGGGGCAGAAUUUUGUCUUGCACUCCAAACAGAGGACGCGCACGGGCAAACUCUCUGCAACUCGCUAUGUUUUUCCUUCAGUUCUUUGCAUAUGAAAAAUGGACCAAUUUUUCUUUAGUAGUUUUUGACUUUGUGUUUCAGAUUUUCCCGUGCAUUGCUAAAUCGGUUGUGCGCAUGACGUGCAGUCCACCCACCUCCUCCCCUGCAUCCCUAGCGGCAGGCCAGCGGGUUUUUUAGAAUAAUUUUUUUGCCAUGACCGGCGAUAGAACAGUGCAGCUCGCUGGCGUGCGGCUCGUAGUUCCCAUGGUUGCCUUGCAGUUCGUUCGGCACUGACGGUUGCAGUUUGUUUUGUUGACCAUUGAGAAUGGGAGAAAAAUAUAUUUCCAGUUCGUUUGUUCUCAAACGUACUUGUAAGAAAAAGUAAAAAGCACAAGCAGUUUGUGUGUAUUGCGAAGUCUUGUGCUUGUUUGUGAGAGGUUCGUUCAACUGUACAAUGAUGUUCUUUUUGUUGCAAUUUGAUGCAA